rnacentral:rRNA from 1 species
CAGUCGCCGCGGUAAUACAGAGGGUGCGAGCGUUAAUCGGAUUUACUGGGCGUAAAGCGUGCGUAGGCGGCUUCUUAAGUCGGAUGUGAAAUCCCUGAGCUUAACUUAGGAAUUGCAUUCGAUACUGGGAAGCUAGAGUAUGGGAGAGGAUGGUAGAAUUCCAGGUGUAGCGGUGAAAUGCGUAGAGAUCUGGAGGAAUACCGAUGGCGAAGGCAGCCAUCUGGCCUAAUACUGACGCUGAGGUACGAAAGCAUGGGGAGCAAACAGGAUUAGAUACCCGGGUAGUCCCUGUCUCUAUACA